rnacentral:rRNA from 1 species
UUGUUCGGAAUUACUGGGCGUAAAGGGCUCGUAGGUGGCCAACUAAGUCGGACGUGAAAUCCCUCAGCUUAACUGGGGAACUGCGUCCGAUACUGGAUGGCUUGAGUUUGGGAGAGGGAUGCGGAAUUCCAGGUGUAGCGGUGAAAUGCGUAGAUAUCUGGAGGAACACCGGUGGCGAAGGCGGCAUCCUGGACCAACACUGACACUGAGGAGCGAAAGCCAGGGGAGCAAACGGG